rnacentral:rRNA from 1 species
UACGGAGGGUGCAAGCGUUAUCCGGAUUCACUGGGUUUAAAGGGUGCGUAGGUGGGUUGGGAAGUCAGUGGUGAAAUACUUUCGCUUAACGAAGGAACUGCCAUUGAUACUAUCAAUCUUGAAUGUAGUGGAGGUAGGCGGAAUGCGUCAUGUAGCGGUGAAAUGCUUAGAUAUGACGCAGAACACCAAUUGCGAAGGCAGCUUGCUACACUACUAUUGACACUGAGGCACGAAAGCGUGGGGAUCAAACAGG